rnacentral:rRNA from 1 species
AAACUUUCAACAACGGAUCUCUUGGUUCUCGCAUCGAUGAAGAACGCAGCGAAAUGCGAUAAGUAAUAUGAAUUGCAGAUUUUCGUGAAUCAUCGAAUCUUUGAACGCACAUUGCGCUCUUUGGUAUUCCGAAGAGCAUGCCUGUUUGAGCGUCAUUU